AUGGUGUUCUCACCGACUGAGCUAGUUGUCAUCCUCCCGGAGUCGUUUACGGAAUGCCCUUUCAUGGACAUUGAGCUGCCUUGCUUCCGAGGCACCACCUCAAUCGAGCUGGACGCCGCGUUCAUGCGCAUCAAGCCGACACCCAUGGCCGAAUUCACCGCGCUCGAGAGGCUGUCCCUCAAGGGAAAAAUCGACAACCUUGGCGCCGUGCUUGACCGCUGCCCAUGCCUACGCGUGCUCGCAGUCGCCUUCCGCGUUGUGGAUUCUGCCUUGGUCGAAUCAGCACUCGCCUGGAUCCAGGAGCUUGAUGUCCGGGCAUUCAUGGAAUGUUCGAGCAUCGAUAUAGUGGUUCCGGUGCUUAAGCAACUGAAGCUCGGUGUACGGGCCAACAUGGAACUCAGCAUGUCCAUCUCGACGCCAAUGGUGGAGAAUAUCUCAUUCCAGCGCCAUUACACAGGGUUCCCUCUUGUAUUUGAUUGUUCGUUGCCUCAAGGAAUAAGGCUGGAGACGUUACCCACUAACAACGGGAAAGGACAUCUACCUUCUGUUCAUGUCCUGAUUUUGCACAUGUCUGCCUGUGGUCAUAUAGGUGCACAGCUAGACUUUACGCAGGAGAUGGAUAAACUUCUAUUUAUGAACUUCUCUGUGCUGGAGCUACAUCUCACAGCAAUGGAGCAUGUUUCGGGAGGACUCGUGUCACGCCUCCUCAAGAUGCAUCAUGUUCAAACAGGUACACAAAGGCUUAAGGUCAACCUAUAUUAUUACUACGGGGAGAGAGAAGCAUGCGGAAAUUGUCCUUGCGACGAACCUAAGAACCGGAUAAUCCAAAGUAUCUCAAUGCCUCGUCUUAAAGGAGUGGAAAUAUGUGGCUUCAAAGGAGAGCAUUGCCAGCUUGAUUUCUUGACAUUGAUAUGCAGAUGCGCUCCAAUGCUUAGAACAAUGAAUGUGAAGUUGGCGAAAGGGGCUUAA
rnacentral:rRNA from 1 species